GUACUGAUGAAGAGUCCCAAAGAAGGGGGACGAAACAUCUGUCCGGUAU
rnacentral:hammerhead_ribozyme from 1 species